GCCAGGUGUGGUGGUGCACUCCUGUAGUCCCAGCUACUCCGGAGGCUGAGGCAAGAGAAUUGCUUGAACCCAGGAGGCAGAGGGUGCAGUGAGCCGAGAUUGUGCCACUGCACUCCAGCCUGGGUGACAGAGUAAGACUCUGUCUCAA
ensembl:misc_RNA Metazoa_SRP Metazoan signal recognition particle RNA